rnacentral:pre_miRNA from 1 species
AAUAAGGUCAUUUUUCAGUUCUUACAUAUAAUAUUUUAACUCUUUGUGUUAUUUGAAUUUUUUUACGAUUAAUAUUUUUAUUAUUAUUAAAUAAUAAAAUAUAAAUAGUACUUUAUGCGUGGCUAUGUUUUUAAGUUUUUUUACAAAUUUUUUUAAAUAAGACGAAUGAUCAAAACAUUAGACACAGAAAUCGAAAAAUGAUGUUAUU